AUUGAACGCUGGCGGCAGGCCUAACACAUGCAAGUCGAACGAGUGGCGGACGGGUGAGUAAUGUCUGGGAAACUGCCUGAUGGAGGGGGAUAACUACUGGAAACGGUAGCUAAUACCGCAUACCAUCGGAUGUGCCCAGAUGGGAUUAGCUAGGAGGUGGGGUAAAGGCUCACCAAGGCGACGAUCACUAGCUGGGCUGAGAGGGUGACCAGCAAACCUGGAACUGAGACACGGUCCAUACUCCUACGUGAGGCCGCAGUGGGGAAUAUUGCACAAUGGGCGCAAGCCUGAUGCAGACAUGACGCGUGUAUGAAGAAGGCCUUCGGGUUGUAAAGUACUUUCAGCGGGGAGGCGUUACCCGCAGAAGAAGCACCGGCUAACUCCGUGCCAGCAGCCGCGGUAAUAC
rnacentral:rRNA from 1 species